rnacentral:rRNA from 1 species
GACGAACGCUGGCGGCGUGCCUAACACAUGCAAGUCGAGCGAAGUGAUUUUGAAUGAAGCCUUCGGGCAGAAUUCAAAAUUAUCUUAGCGGCGGACGGGUGAGUAACGCGUGAGGAACCUGCCUUUCACAAAGGGAUAGCCUCGGGAAACCGGGAUUAAUACCUUAUGAUACUAAUUUACCGCAUGGUGAAUUAGUUAAAGCGCAAAGCGGUGAAAGAUGGCCUCGCGUCCCAUUAGUUAGUUGGUGAGGUAACGGCUCACCAAGACCGCGAUGGGUAGCCGGCCUGAGAGGGUGAACGGCCACACUGGAACUGAGACACGGUCCAGACUCCUACGGGAGGCAGCAGUGGGGAAUAUUGCACAAUGGAGGAAACUCUGAUGCAGCGACGCCGCGUGAACGAAGAAGGUCUUCGGAUCGUAAAGUUCUGUCCUAGGGGACGAUAAUGACGGUACCCUAGGAGGAAGCCCCGGCUAACUACGUGCCAGCAGCCGCGGUAAUACGUAGGGGGCGAGCGUUGUCCGGAAUUAUUGGGCGUAAAGGGUUCGUAGGCGGUUAUUUAAGUCAGGUGUGAAAGGCAUGGGCUUAACCUGUGUAAGCACUUGAAACUGGAUAACUUGAGUUAAGGAGAGGAAAGUGGAAUUCCUAGUGUAGCGGUGAAAUGCGUAGAUAUUAGGAGGAAUACCAGUGGCGAAGGCGACUUUCUGGACUUAUACUGACGCUGAGGAACGAAAGCGUGGGGAGCAAACAGGAUUAGAUACCCUGGUAGUCCACGCCGUAAACGAUGAGUGCUAGGUGUUGGAGGGAAACCUUCGGUGCCGCAGCUAACGCAUUAAGCACUCCGCCUGGGGAGUACGUACGCAAGUAUGAAACUCAAAGGAAUUGACGGGGACCCGCACAAGCAGCGGAGCAUGUGGUUUAAUUCGAAGCAACGCGAAGAA